CUAGAAGAGGAGGGACGUGAAGCUAGAACAGAUACUUGGCUGCUGCCUUUUCCCGUUAUCACCUUACCUGAUCCUGCCUGUGGGUCUGAGUUUCUUUUUGUUACCUGUGCCUAAGACGUGAAGUGAAGGUGCAGAUUGAGGGCAGUCACUUGCUGGCAGUCCUUUUUGAUCACCCUCCGCCCUGAGCAGCUAACCUGUAUCAUUCAAAAGUGCGGUGACAGGGGAACUAGAAGGAGACCUGGUCAGAGCAACUAACAACCACACUUGACUGGAGCCAAGAUGGCAGAUUAGAGGCAGCCACCCAGCUGAACUCUUCUAACAUUCUUCUCCAAAGAACUUUAAAAUUGCUUCUCAAAUAAAAUUUUGGAGCAUCGGAGGCAACGAAAGGUGGGAGUGAGACAUUUUUCCAACUUGAGAAAAUUUAAGACCAUCAGCAAGAGAAGUUUGUAUCACUGGGGUUGACACCUGUCUGGAACUGGCACAACAAUAGCUGCAAUAGCAGCAGUAGUGUUGGGAGCUUUCAGCUCAGAGACGGUAAGAGGGGUGGUGUCUGACAACUGGUCAGAAAGACCUUGCUGGCAGUGGGUAUAGGGAAACUGGUUGACGAUUCUGGAUUACAGUUUCAGGGUGGUAGAGAGGAGGGCUGCUAGUCAGACACGAGGGAGUAGGGUCCUUGAUCAUAGUUCCAAAGCAAAGAGGAGGGCUAGCAAUUGUGGUUGUAGAGGACUAGGAUAAAGACUCAGAGCAUAGUCCAGGAGAGCAGUGAUCACACAUUUCCUAUGAUCACGCCACCUUAGAAGCAUCAAAAACUUGCAGAUUAACUUCAGAGCUAACUCUGAAGACAGUAGCACAAAAAAACCCUUGAAGCUCGGCAUAGUGCCUCCUUAAUCCCAGGUGAGCAGAGCCCAACUUUAACAUAAAAUUCAAAGUGAAGAAAUAGACUGGAAAAAUGAGCAAACAACAAAAAAAGAAUUUGGCAGCAAAAGGCAAUGCUGGUGCCAAAGAAGAGCAGGAGGGAAACCAAGAAGGAACUGCAGAAGAAGACAACACUGCGAAAGCAGCUCCACCCAGUGUUCCACAGAAAAAUAUUUAUUGGACCCAAGCCCAACACGAAUUCCUGGAAGAAUUAAAGAAAGAAUUAAAAUUGGCA